rnacentral:rRNA from 1 species
UACGUAGGUGGCAAGCGUUGUCCGGAUUUACUGGGCGUAAAGCGUGCGUAGGCGGUUUAGUGUGUGGGAAUUGAAAGCCCGGGGCUCAACUCCGGAUCCGGUUCCCAAACUGCUAGACUCGAGCGUAUCAGAGGAGAGCGGAAUUCCCGGUGUAGCGGUAAUAUGCGUAGAUAUCAGGAGGAACACCAAUGGCGAAGGCAGCUCGCUGGGACGGUACUGACGCUGAGGCGCGAAAGCGUGGGGAGCAAACAGG